rnacentral:lncRNA from 1 species
UUGAAGGAAAAAAACCUGCUAGAUACAAAAUACCUAAAAUAGUAACCCCUUUUUGUUAGAUACAAAAUUUGAAUCCUGUAUAUUAAUUACAUGGCUCUAACAAGCUUAAAACAGAAAGGAGAUUUGGUUUGUAGGGACCAAGUGGGUUUAUUUUUUCGAAUCGCCUUCAAAUCUUGAAAACUCGACUCCAGUUUCUGCCUUUUAACCUUAGGUUUUUC